rnacentral:rRNA from 1 species
GAUCAUGGCUCAGGACGAACGCUGGCGGCGUGCCUAACACAUGCAAGUCGAACGGAAGCAGAGAUUUCGGUUUUUGCUUUAGUGGCGAACGGGUGAGUAACGCGUGAGGAACCUGCCUUUCAGUGGGGGACAACAGUUGGAAACGACUGCUAAUACCGCAUAAUGCUUUUUGAUGGCAUCAUUGAAAAGCCAAAGAUUUAUUGCUGAAAGAUGGCCUCGCGUCUGAUUAGCUGGUUGGG